rnacentral:rRNA from 1 species
GAUGAACGCUGGCGGCGUGCCUAAUACAUGCAAGUCGAGCGAACGGACGAGAAGCUUGCUUCUCUGAUGUUAGCGGCGGACGGGUGAGUAACACGUGGAUAACCUACCUAUAAGACUGGGAUAACUUCGGGAAACCGGAGCUAAUACCGGAUAAUAUUUUGAACCGCAUGGUUCAAAAGUGAAAGACGGUCUUGCUGUCACUUAUAGAUGGAUCCGCGCUGCAUUGGCUAGUUGGUAAGGUAACGGCUUACCAAGGCAACGAUGCAUAGCCGACCUGAGAGGGUGAUCGGCCACACUGGAACUGAGACACGGUCCAGACUCCUACGGGAGGCAGCAGUAGGGAAUCUUCCGCAAUGGGCGAAAGCCUGACGGAGCAACGCCGCGUGAGUGAUGAAGGUCUUCGGAUCGUAAAACUCUGUUAUUAGGGAAGAACAUAUGUGUAAGUAACUGUACACAUCUUGACGGUACCUAAUCAGAAAGCCACGGCUAACUACGUG